AACGAACGCUGGCGGCAUGCCUAACACAUGCAAGUCGAACGAGACCUUCGGGUCUAGUGGCGCACGGGUGCGUAACGCGUGGGAACCUGCCCUUAGGUUCGGCAUAACUCCCCGAAAGGGGUGCUAAUACCGGAUAAUGUCUUCGGCCCAAAGAUUUAUCGCCUUUGGAUGGGCCCGCGUUGGAUUAGCUAGUUGGUAGGGUAAAAGCCUACCAAGGCGACGAUCCAUAGCUGGUCUGAGAGGAUGAUCAGCCACACUGGGACUGAGACACGGCCCAGACUCCUACGGGAGGCAGCAGUGGGGAAUAUUGGACAAUGGGCGAAAGCCUGAUCCAGCAAUGCCGCGUGAGUGAUGAAGGCCUUAGGGUUGUAAAGCUCUUUUAACCGGGAUGAUAAUGACAGUACCGGGAGAAUAAGCUCCGGCUAACUCCGUG
rnacentral:rRNA from 1 species